UGGAAACCCUAGUUUUAGGGUUUCCAUUACAUGUCUUCACUUCAUCUUUCAUUCGUUUUUCUCCCCGGUUUACUUCCUCUCAACUCGUCUUCAAUCUCUGUACACUACUUGUCCUUUAAGCCGUUUAAUCCUUCCAAUCGAAAUCAUCCCCUCUCUUCAAUCCUUGUAACGACAUUGAUUUUUCUUUCAUUUCGGAAAGAAACUUUUUCCUUUUUUCGUCAACUCACCUUCAACAUAUUCCGAUUUAGGUUUGGCCGUCGUUUUCUUCUCGGUAAAAAAUAUAUCUUCCUCUAAAUUCCUCUCUCCCACUCUUCGUCCUCCCAAUUUUCGUUGAAGGCUUCGCUCACCGUGUUGCCUCCGAAACAAAUGGAUCUUCUGUCGGUUUCGUUGAUCGGCUGUGUUUUACAUUUUGCCUCCGAAACCUUUGCGCUUGCAUGUUCACUACUGUUAUUGGUGAACAUGCAAUCCGGCUCGAUUUUCCCCUUCCAGAAGACCUUGCCGCUUGGACUCCCACUUGCCGAUCGGGUAAUUCUUUUCCCUUUGAUUUGGACACAUUCUACUACGGAUACUAUCACCCACUGCAUUUGGGAUGUUCGAGCAAGGUAUGGUUGGAGGUAAGUGGUUGAAUUUCGAGUUUCUUUCUUUGUCGAUGAUGAGGAUUAGGGUUAUGCACUGUCUGAAUAAUUUUCUUUCUGAUUAGUUCUGUUCUGUGCAUAAUUAUUUGUAAUCGUUUUUGUUUUUUACUUCUAUUGUUUUUCAUAUUCGGUCAUCCCAAUCUGUUUACUUUCGAUGUUUCUGAUUACUAUUGUUCCUGUAGUUUUUUGAAGUCAGUUCUGUGUAUGUGUAUCUGUCAAAAUUUUUGUCUAUGUGCUUCAACAUAUGUCCAUGUUUGCCAUGUUUCUAAUCUCCUUCCGUAUUGCCCAUCAAUAUUGUUUAAGUUAUACUUAUGUGAACCCUAAUUUCUGUUAUAUUGUUUAAAUUUUUCCCAUCUCUGUUAACUCAUAUGUCCCUGUUUGCCAUGUUUCUAAUCUGUUUUGUUGGUUUCACUUUGUUGUUGCUACUGUGCGUAAUCUGAACACAUUUUGUACCAUUUUUUUUAAUAUUAUCCCUCAUCAAUACGCUGACAUAUUUAUUUCAUUUGGCACUUUGACUAACUAUGUUCACACUUCCCAUUUACUUGCAAUCAAUAUGACUUCUGAAUUUGCUUUGACGUCUUUUCUCUUUACUUGCAAGCAACUGUUCUGUUUCUUUCUCUUUAUUUCUAAGCAAAUCUCAUUCAUCUAUCCAUUAAACUGCACUGUCUGGGUUCAUUUUAUUUUUUGGUUAUUUAUUUGUCUACUCAUAGCUUAUCUUUAUCUUAGUUGUAGGUUUUGACCAUUUGCUUCCCUGUUCUGUACACUUCUGUAAUUUGCAGAGAUUCCUCUUUUUUUUUUGGUAUGAGUGAAUAAACACAUACUUUAUUCACCCUCUAACCCUCUAUAUAUACCACUUCCUUUGUUGUAUUUUAUUGUGUUGUUUUCCUUGCUUUCUCCCCCGUGCUUUCUUUAUUUGGUAUGUAACUUAACUUUGUUUUCUUCUUUUCUACUUCUAUUUCGCCUUCUUUUUUCUUUUGCCAUAUCUAUAUUAAGUAGAUUCUGUUAUGUUUAAAGCAUAUUUGUGUAGAUGUUUUAUGCUUAUUUGGUUGCAUUUGUAUAGCUAUAUAUGUUUUGCUGCACAUCCUAUUGUUGCUUCUUUUUGUAUUCUUGUUUGUAAUAAUUGAUCCAGUUCGUUACACCGAACGAAUUCAAUUCCUCUGAGGCACAACGUUUUUUUAAAUAACACGACCUAAAUUGCUCAUUCAUUUUAAUCAAUCUUCUUUUUUCAAUUUCACCUUGACAUUCCUCCAAACAAUAGGGUACGUAAUCGAUACACCUCAUCCUUAUACUAUUUGUACUUGUACUUUUCUUAUGUCGGUACACUAAUUUCAUUUCUUUAUUUGCAGGAUAUCUGACUUCUUACUUCGUUCGUUAGAGGCACUACCCUGAAAUGGAUAACCAAAACAUUCGCACUAUACUAGCCGUCUUCACAUCCACCCAUAAUCAGUUAAUACUGCUAUUGGAUGCACUAAUGAAUGACAAUAAGCGGGUGACCCAUACACCGUACGAAUUUAAGCAUCAAAUUAGACAACUUUCAUACUUCCGUAUGAUACACUCCUCCGACCUCAUUUGUCGUGAAAGUACCAGAAUGGACAGACGAACUUUUUCCAUUCUAUGUCAUUUACUGAGGAUGAUUUUUGGUCUGACGUCGACCGAAAUCGUCGAUGUCGAGGAGAUGGUCGCCAUGUUUCUGCAUAUUUUGGCACACGAUGUCAAGAAUAGAGUCAUCCAGCAGAAUUUCGUGCGAUCAGGAGAGACUGUUUCCCGUCACUUUAACCUCGUAUUGUUGGCGGUGUUGCGAUUGCACGAUGAGUUGUUGAAGAAACCCCAGCCAGUGACUACCACAUGCGCUGAUUCAUGAUGGAGUUGCUUCGAGAACUGCCUUGGGGCAUUGGAUGACACGUACAUCAAGGUGAACGUGCCGCAAACCGAUAGGCCUAGGUAUAGAACACGUAAGGGAACAUCCUCGGUGUGUGUGAUACGAAAGGCGACUUCGUCUUCGUAUUGGCUGGUUGAGAAGGAUCCACAGCAAAUUCGCGCAUUCUUCGAGAUGCUAUUGCACGACCAAAUGGGCUGCAUGUUCCUCAGGGUUAUUUCUAUCUAUGCGACGCCGGAUAUCCCAAUGCAGAGGGAUUUCUAGCUCCCUAUAGAGGACAAAGAUACCACUUGCAAGAGUGGCGAGGAGCGGGAAAUGCCCCUGUCACCGCAAAAGAGUACUUCAACAUAAAACAUCCUGCCGCUAGGAAUGUUAUUGAACGAGCGUUCGGGUUGUUGAAGGGUCGAUGGGCAAUCCUUCGCGGCAAAUCGUACUAUCCCGUGCAAAUUCAAUGUCGAACAAUUCUAGCGUGUUGCCUACUACACAAUCUCAUCAACCGCGAGAUGACGAAUGUCGAUUUUGUUGACGAAGGAGACUCCACGUACGCCACGAUUGGAGGUGAUGACAUUCAGUUCGUGGAGAACUCAAACGAAUGGACGCAGUGGAGGGAUGAUUUGGCCGCAGAGAUGUUCAAUGAAUGGCAGUUGCGUAACGAAUAGGCUUUCAUGUCGAUUUCGUAUUCCUAUACUUGUAUUUAGUUAGUAUUGGGUGUGUCUUCGUGUACGCUUAAAUGUAUGCAUGCAGUAUGAAAAACGAAUUUGACAAUUUUGCCUUCUUGUGUAUUUUAAUAAUUAUUCCUUCAUGUUUAUUGAAGAUACUUAAACAAAUGCAUGGUUGUAUGA